CUCCGCCGCCCUCCACUCUGUUCACGGCGGCUGCUCCCGCUCUCAGGGACCUGGACACCAAACUUUGAAGCCUCCGGAUUCCUCUCCGGCUUUUUUAGCCCCUCACUCCUGAGGCUCUCUCCCCUGCAGGGACUGAGCUGCUCUGCCCCAGUUGGGAAGGACUUCCUGCUGUGCCUGCAUCUUGACCAAGAGGACCUUGAACCUGAGCCAGAUAGUGGAAAUCAAUCAUGGUCUCCAAUUUGCAGACAGCAGAACGCGGGCCUUCUCAGCCUCCAUAACCACG